UGGUGGGUAGUUUGACUGGGGCGGUCUCCUCCUAAAGAGUAACGGAGGAGCACGAAGGUUGGCUAAUCCUGGUCGGACAUCAGGAGGUUAGUGCAAUGGCAUAAGCCAGCUUGACUGCGAGCGUGACGGCGCGAGCAGGUGCGAAAGCAGGUCAUAGUGAUCCGGUGGUUCUGAAUGGAAGGGCCAUCGCUCAACGGAUAAAAGGUACUCCGGGGAUAACAGGCUGAUACCGCCCAAGAGUUCAUAUCGACGGCGGUGUUUGGCACCUCGAUGUCGGCUCAUCACAUCCUGGGGCUGAAGUAGGUCCCAAGGGUAUGGCUGUUCGCCAUUUAAAGUGGUACGCGAGCUGGGUUUAGAACGUCGUGAGACAGUUCGGUCCCUAUCUGCCGUGGGCGCUGGAGAACUGAGGGGGGCUGCUCCUAGUACGAGAGGACCGGAGUGGACGCAUCACUGGUGUUCGGGUUGUCAUGCCAAUGGCACUGCCCGGUAGCUAAAUGCGGAAGAGAUAAGUGCUGAAAGCAUCUAAGCACGAAACUUGCCCCGAGAUGAGUUCUCCCUGAGACUUAGAGUCUCCUGAAGGAACGUUGAAGACGACGACGUUGAUAGGCCGGGUGUGUAAGCGCAGCGAUGCGUUGAGCUAACCGGUACUAAUGAACCGUGAGGCUUAACCUUACAACGCCG
rnacentral:rRNA from 8 species